UCGGGAAUUUUGGGCAAUGGGCGCAAGCCUGACCCAGCAACGCCGCGUGAGGGAUGAAAUCCUUCGGGAUGUAAACCUCGUAAGAAUGGGAAGAAUAAGUAGGGGAUAAUACCCUCUAUGAUGACGGUACCAUUUGUAAGCUCCGGCUAACUCCGUGCCAGCAGCCGCGGUAAUACGGGGGGAGCAAGCGUUGUUCGGAUUUACUGGGCGUAAAGGGCGCGUAGGCGGUCAUGACAAGUCACUUGUGAAAUCUCCGGGCUUAACUCGGAACGGUCAAGUGAUACUGUCAGACUAGAGUGCAGAAGGGGCAACUGGAAUUCUCGGUGUAGCGGUGAAAUGCGUAGAUAUCGAGAGGAACACCUGCGGCGAAGGCGGGUUGCUGGGCUGACACUGACGCUGAGGCGCGAAAGCCAGGGGAGCGAACGG
rnacentral:rRNA from 1 species